AUUGAACGCUGGCGGCAGGCCUAACACAUGCAAGUCGAACGGUAACAGGAAGCAGCUUGCUGCUUCGCUGACGAGUGGCGGACGGGUGAGUAAUGUCUGGGAAACUGCCUGAUGGAGGGGGAUAACUACUGGAAACGGUAGCUAAUACCGCAUAACGUCGCAAGACCAAAGAGGGGGACCUUCGGGCCUCUUGCCAUCAGAUGUGCCCAGAUGGGAUUAGCUAGUAGGUGGGGUAACGGCUCACCUAGGCGACGAUCCCUAGCUGGUCUGAGAGGAUGACCAGCCACACUGGAACUGAGACACGGUCCAGACUCCUACGGGAGGCAGCAGUGGGGAAUAUUGCACAAUGGGCGCAAGCCUGAUGCAGCCAUGCCGCGUGUAUGAAGAAGGCCUUCGGGUUGUAAAGUACUUUCAGCGGGGAGGAAGGCGUUGAGGUUAAUAACCUCAGCGAUUGACGUUACCCGCAGAAGAAGCACCGGCUAACUCCGUGCCAGCCGCCGCCGUAA
rnacentral:rRNA from 1 species